UUCUGGGAGGAUUGACAGAUUGAGAGCUCUUUCUUGAUUCGGUGGAUGGUGGUGCAUGUCCGUUCUUAGUUGGUGGAGCGAUUUGUCUGGUUAAUUUCGAUAACAAACGAGACUCUAGUCUAUUAAAUAGG
rnacentral:ncRNA from 1 species